GACGAACGCUGGCGGCGUGCUUAACACAUGCAAGUCGAACGGUGAAGCCCUUCGGGGUGGAUCAGUGGCGAACGGGUGAGUAACACGUGAGCAACCUGCCCCUGGCUCUGGGACAACCACUGGAAACGGUGGCUAAUACCGGAUACGACCCGCCUCGGCAUCGAGUGUGGGUGGAAAGUUUUUCGGCUGGGGAUGGGCUCGCGGCCUAUCAGCUUGUUGGUGAGGUGAAGGCUCACCAAGGCGGCGACGGGUAGCCGGCCUGAGAGGGCGACCGGCCACACUGGGACUGAGACACGGCCCAGACUCCUACGGGAGGCAGCAGUGGGGAAUAUUGCACAAUGGGCGAAAGCCUGAUGCAGCGACGCCGCGUGAGGGAUGACGGCCUUCGGGUUGUAAACCUCUUUCAGCUCCGAAGAAGCGAAAGUGACGGUAGGAGCAGAAGAAGCACCGGCUAACUACGU
rnacentral:rRNA from 1 species